AGCUCGCGCCGUCUCACCCUCCCGGCCGCAUAUGCGGGCACAACGGCAGCGGCUGCCUCAGGAGAGGAGGAUGCGGCGGCGGUCCUUGGUGCGGGACAUCCGCUCGAACUGGCGCGGGGAGACUGGAUGAACCGACGGCGGCGAGGCUCGAGAUCCCCCGCCUCAUCCUUCCCUGCCUCUGCACCCGACGAUGACGGCCCAGCCAUGUUAUUUGGGCGAGGAGGCAACAGAUCGGGAGAUCUAUCCUUCCCUGGUGCUUGCGACGGCGGCGGCAACCGGCGGUAACAGCCAGCAGGGCCCUGACAACCAGGUACAGCGCUCCUUUCUUUUACGAGCACAAACUGCGCCGCGUGACACACCCAGGUACUGAUCUUCAACCAAAGGGCAGCGGUAACCGGCGACCGGCGGCCAGCGGCGACCGGCGACCACAACCAGACUACAAAAAUUCAGCAUCUUGCUUCCUUGCCGUCCACACUUCCAUGGUGCCACCUCGACCUCACGGAUCUUGCCAAUGGCUAUGACGCCAAGGUCCUGCAUGUGAACUGUUUGAUGAAAUUCGUCUGUGCCAAUUCUUUAUUGCUGCUCAUGAAGCAGCUGCCGGCCAAGCAGAGAUAUUUAUAAUGUGACGGACUGCUGCCGGAAGAAAAAGAAGACAACGGCAUCGCUGCCACAUGGGAUCUCCUUCUAUGACGCUGUCGUGCUGGGUUUUGUUAGGUCUGUGCUCAGCGCUGUUCAUUUUCUCUAAAAAGACUUUGAGACACAUCUUGUUGAAUUUGUAUAGCUUUCAGCUGGGAAGGACACCAACAUGGUUAUAGACUUAUAGCUGUUGCUCUUGGACUUGGGAUAUGAAUCGUUGGGUGUUAAAAGCACUUCAUAGCAGCUUGGUCAUACCAUGGAUUCUUUGGAAGCUCUUUUCAGAAGCAGAGAGAGUGUACUACACUGGAGGAUUAAAAGAUCUUCGCAAUAUUUGCUUUCUCAAUGUUAACCUGUAGGUAUCUCCUACUCUUCAAUGAAUCUGUAUUAUGGUGUUC